UAUAUACUCCCUCCGUCCGGAAAUACUUGUUAUCAAAAUGAAUAAAAGGGGAUGUAUCUAGACAUAUAUUAGUUCUAGAUACAUCUCUUUUUAUUCAUUUUGAUGACAAGUAUUUGGGGACGGAGGGAGUAGUUU
rfam:Triticum aestivum genome assembly, contig: Triticum_aestivum_CS42_TGACv1_scaffold_578470_7BL